rnacentral:rRNA from 1 species
AUGCGCGACCUCACCUACGACAUGGAGGAGUGCCUCGACCGCUUCAUGCAACGUAUCGGCGACGGCGAUGCCAACCGCAGCUUCCCCAAGAAGGCCGCGCGCCGGCUCAAGACGCCGUUCACGCGCCAUGGCAUUGGUACCCAGAUCAAGAAGCUCCAGGCCCGCGUCGCUGAGGAGGGCGAGCGGCGGCAGAUGCUGAACCUCGAUAACUACACCCCAAGGACGACCGUGGCGAUAGAUCCCCGGCUCGCUGCCUUCCACGGGGUGGCCAAGGGAUUGGUGGCCAUUGACGGCCGCAAAGAUGAGGUUGUUUCUUUGCUGAAACAGGAGAGUGUGGAGCUGAAGGUGGUGGCUAUUGUCGGAGGUGGGGGAUUGGGGAAGACCACACUUGCCAUGGAAACCUAUCGCAAGAUUGGAGAGCACUUCGAGUGGCGAGCUUCUGUGUCGGUGUCGCGCACCCCUGAUCUGGAGAUGCUCUUGAAAUAUGUUCUGUCUCAAAUCGAUGGAGAUGCCCAAUCAGAGAGGUGGAAGAAAGACCAACUAAUUCGUCGGAUCCAAAGUAUCUUGAGAGGAAAGAGCUCUAUCAAAUGCCACCUCUGA